UAAGGAAGAACUUAACAAGGAUUCCCCUAGUAACGGCGAGUGAACCGGGAAGAGCUCAAAUUUGAAAUCUGGCAGUCUUCGAUUGUCCGAGUUGUAAUCUAUAGAAGCGUUUUCCGUGCUGAACUGUGUAUAAGUCCCUUGGAACAGGGUAUCAAAGAGGGUGACAAUCCCGUACUUUACACAAUCAUCAGUGCUCUGUGAUACGUUCUCUACGAGUCGAGUUGUUUGGGAAUGCAGCUCAAAAUGGGUGGUAAAUUCCAUCUAAAGCUAAAUAUUGGCGAGAGACCGAUAGCGAACAAGUACCGUGAGGGAAAGAUGAAAAGCACUUUGGAAAGAGAGUUAAACAGUACGUGAAAUUGUUGAAAGGGAAACGAAAUUCAUGAAUCAUGUUUAUUGGACUCAGCCGUUCUUCGGUGUACUUCCUUUAAACGGGUCAACAUCAGUUUUGUCCGAUGGAUAAAGGUAGUAGGAAGGUGGCUCUCUCGGGAGUGUUAUAGCCUAUUGCUGCAUACAUUGGAUGAGACUGAGGACUGCAGCUUGCCUUUAUGGCCGGGGUUCGCCCACGUCAAGCUUAAGGA
rnacentral:rRNA from 1 species